GUGUCAGCCGCCGCGGUAAUACAGAGGGUGCGAGCGUUGUCCGGAAUCACUGGGCGUAAAGGGCGCGUAGGUGGCGACCCAAGUCCGUGGUGAAAGCUCGUCGCUUAACGACGAGUCGGCCACGGAGACUGGGUGGCUCGAGCACUGUAGGGGCAGAUGGAAUUCCGGGUGUAGCGGUGGAAUGCGUAGAGAUCCGGAAGAACACCAGUGGCGAAGGCGGUCUGCUGGGCAGUUGCUGACACUGAUGCGCGACAGCGUGGGGAGCAAACAGGAUUAGAAACCCUCGUAGUCC
rnacentral:rRNA from 1 species